AAAGGGGCGGAAGACAGGCUAAGAGACAAUAAAAGCUGCAGGGCAA
rnacentral:lncRNA from 1 species